rnacentral:rRNA from 1 species
UACGAAGGGGGCUAGCGUUGUUCGGAAUUACUGGGCGUAAAGCGUGCGCAGGCGGCUUCUCAAGUCAGGGGUGAAAGCCCAGAGCUCAACUCUGGAAUUACCUUUGAGACUGAGAGGCUUGAGUACGGGAGAGGUGAGUGGAAUUCCCCAGUGUAGAGGUGAAAUUCGUAGAUAUUCGCAAGAACACCAGUGGCGAAGGCGGCUCACUGGCCCGGUACUGACGCUGAGGUGCGAAAGCGUGGGGAGCAAACAGG